CUUUUUAAAAAAACAAAAAUAUGAAAACAAUUCUCAUUUGAUAGAUUUUUUGUAGAAUUAAUCCAAAAACCAAACUCUAUGGAGACAGACUUAAUCUGUAAUUCAAUUUUUAAUUCAGUUUGGCCUAAAACAGGAACAUAUAUCACUAUAUUUUUUCUACUGGCGUUAAUAGCUUGUGGGUUAUAGAAUAUUUUAUAAUUUCCCCAAAUGGUUUACAAUAAACUGUAUUUGAUGCUGACAGUCAUUUAAUUGUUGGUCUGAUCAUAAAAUGUAAUGUAAUGCGUUCUGUCUGUAUAUAAAUUGAGAAUGCAAAAAAGCUACAAGUGGGCAGCAAAACAGAUAUAACAAGAAUGUGUCCUAAGUACAUGGAUGCCCCAUCCGCACUAUCAUUUUCUAUGUUCACUGGACCGUGAAAAUGGAAUAAAAUCUCUAAUUUUGCAUUAAAAUGAGAAGGAUCAUAUCAUAGGGAACAUGUUUACUAAGUUUCAAGUUGAUUGGACUUCAACUUCAUCAAAAACUUCCUCAACCAAAAACUUUAACCAAAACUUUAACCUGAAGCGAGACAGACAAACAGAGGGACGAGGAACAGACGAACAAACGGAUGCACAGACCAGAAAACAUAAUGCCCAUAAAUGGGGCAUAUAAAAACAUAAAGUUCCACAACAGAUAUGAGCCACAAUAGAAUAUCAAAAAGGACGAAGAGAUCACCAUUGGGAUGUGACUGGACUAAACGUCUACUGAUACAAGUCAUUCAUCAUCUUCCCUUGUUUCAUUUUUCACAAUUGUGUUAGCCUUCCAUAACUUAUCAUUUCAUGGAUCUCUUUGUAGGGAGUACAAACUAUUUACUCUACAAUUAUAACUCAUUUCAAUUAAAAUUAAUUAUAUAUAA
rnacentral:lncRNA from 1 species